CUUAUUUUCAACUUUGGUGGCGGUGCUCCCAAUGCGGUUCUGGCAUUCUUCUCCGACCAUCUUCAGCAAUCUUUCAGUAUUCCAAGCAAAGGCCCAAUUGUAGGUUGGCUCUUUGGGUGUUUCCUUGUUCCUUUGGUCUUCUUCUUCGAGUGUCGUCUCUCCAUUUUAGCUUCUUCUUCCAAUUGUUCUAUCAUUUCCUUUUUCCCUUGUUAAUCUUACUUGGUCCUAGUCUAGGAUGGGUGAGUUGAGGAACACAGUAGGGGGCUGAUCC
rnacentral:lncRNA from 1 species